rnacentral:misc_RNA from 1 species
UCUCCGUUAUCCGGAGCAGUCUCCCUAGAGUUCCCGGCAUUACCCGCUGGCAACUAGGAACAGGGGUUGCGCUCGUUGCGCCACUUAAGGCAACACCUCACGGCACGAGCUGACGACAGCCAUGCACCACCUGUGCAGGCUCCGAAGAGCGCCGGCUUUCGCCGGUUUCACCCUGCAUGUCAAACCCAGGUAAGGUUCUUCGCGUUGCAUCGAAUUAAGCCGCAUGCUCCGCCGCUUGUGCGGGCCCCCGUCAAUUCCUUUGAGUUUCAGCCUUGCGGCCGUACUCCCCAGGCGGGGCACUUACUGCGUUAGCGACGGCACCGGGAGGGUCGCUCCCCCCGACGCCUAGUGCCCAUCGUUUACGGCGUGGACUAC